rnacentral:rRNA from 1 species
AUACAGAGGGUGCGAGCGUUAAUCGGAAUUACUGGGCGUAAAGCGCGCGUAGGCGGCUUAUUAAGUCAGAUGUGAAAUCCCCGGGCUCAACCUGGGAACUGCAUCUGAUACUGGUAAGCUAGAGUUUGGGAGAGGGAAGUAGAGUUUCAGGUGUAGCGGUGAAAUGCAUAGAGAUCUGAAGGAAUACCAGUGGCGAAGGCGACUUCCUGGCCUAAAACUGACGCUGAGGUGCGAAAGCGUGGGUAGCAAACGGGAUUAGAAACCCUAGUAGUCC